ACCCUACGGGUGGCUGCAGUGAGGAAUAUUGGUCAAUGGGCUUACGCCUGAACCAGCCAAGUCGCGUGAGGGAAGACUGCCCUAUGGGUUGUAAACCUCUUUUGUCAGGGAGCAACAACAUCUACGAGUAGGUGUUACGAGAGUACCUGAAGAAAAAGCAUCGGCUAACUCCGUGCCAGCAGCCGCGGUAAUACGGAGGAUGCGAGCGUUAUCCGGAUUUAUUGGGUUUAAAGGGUACGUAGGCGGAAUGUCAAGUCAGCGGUCAAAUCGCGGGGCUCAACCUCGCUUCGCCGUUGAAACUGGUGUUCUUGAGUGGGCGAGAAGUAUGCGGAAUGCGUGGUGUAGCGGUGAAAUGCAUAGAUAUCACGCAGAACUCCGAUUGCGAAGGCAGCAUACCGGCGCUCAACUGACGCUCAUGCACGAAAGUGUGGGUAUCGAACAGGAUUAGAUACCCUAGUAGUC
rnacentral:rRNA from 1 species